CCAAUAGCGUAUAUUAAAGUUGUUGCAGUUAAAAAGCUCGUAGUUGAAUUUCGGGAUUGACGUGACGGUCGUGCCUUACGGGGUAUGAACUGUUGCUGUUGAUUUCUCACCUUCUGGAGAAACUUGAUGUCCUUAAUUGGGUGUCUUGUGGAUCCAGGACCUUUACCUUGAAAAAAUUAGAGUGUUUAAAGCAGGCAUUU
rnacentral:rRNA from 2 species